CCACAGUCUCCCAAUGGUCCCUUGUUUCCAUAAGGCCCUGAGGUGUCAUAAUCCCCCCUUGGUGACACGAGGCCCUGAAGUGUCAGAAUGGUCUCCAUGGUUCCAUCAGGCCCCACGGAGUCAUAAUGGUCUCUGGGUUCCAUGAAGCCCCGCUGUGUCACCACGGCCCCUUGGUUCCAUGGGCUUCAGUGGUGCCACAAUGAUCCCCUUGGUUCCAUGAGUGCCCCAUGGUGUCACAGUGAUCUCCAUGGGUUAUGAUGAGGGCAGUGAUACAAGUGAGACAGUGACGAAUCAAAAAUGGGAGGAGAUGAGGGUUGUCACCCUACAGAAAGUUGUCACUUGAGGAAUCUCCUGGCAGGGCAGGGAGAGGGAUUUGACAUCACAGCUGCGUGCCUGGGAAAAACGUCGAGGCAAAUUCUCCUUUUCUGGCCAGGAAAGCCAGGGUUUUUCAGUUUGAAAGGAAGCUUGGCACGAUGUCCAUUGUCUUCUCCAUUUGUGAAACACCAAGCGGAGUCUGGGCAGGCUGAUACGCAGAGCAAAACCUGAAAAUAUACUAGUGAUCCUGAGCCUAGGGGAUGCAGCUAAACCCAGCCAAAAGGAAUUUCUGGAAAGCUGAUCCUGGUUUACAUUAUCUUGAGUUUGGCUUUGCCAACUUCACCAGUCAUUUAUGAAAAAGCAAACAAAAAACUCAAACCAAAUCAGACAAAACCCCAAAUCAAUCAAACAAACAAACAAACAAACAAACAAACCCAUGAAGCAAACCAAUCAAACAAAUAGAUAAAAAACCCCAAAUAAAACCAAAGGAAAUGAAGAG